GGGCACGUGGUGUAAUGGUACAUACUCGUGCGUCUCAGCAUCCGAGCACGGGAGUAGCUGGUUCAAUUCCAGCGGUGUCCA